rnacentral:rRNA from 1 species
AUUGAACGCUGGCGGCAUGCUUUACACAUGCAAGUCGAACGGUAACAGGGAGCUUGCUCCGCUGACGAGUGGCGAACGGGUGAGUAAUGCGUCGGAACGCACCGAGUAAUGGGGGAUAACGCAGCGAAAGCUGUGCUAAUACCGCAUACGCUCUGAGGAGGAAAGCGGGGGAUCUUAGGACCUCGCGUUAUUCGAGCGGCCGACGUCUGAUUAGCUAGUAGGUGAGGUAAGAGCUCACCUAGGCGACGAUCAGUAGCGGGUCUGAGAGGAUGAUCCGCCACACUGGGACUGAGACACGGCCCAGACUCCUACGGGAGGCAGCAGUGGGGAAUUUUGGACAAUGGGCGCAAGCCUGAUCCAGCAAUGCCGCGUGCAGGAAGAAGGCC